CCUACGGGUGGCAGCAGUGGGGAAUAUUGCACAAUGGGGGAAACCCUGAUGCAGCGACGCCGCGUGAGUGAAGAAGUAAUUCGUUAUGUAAAGCUCUAUCAGCAGGGAAGAAAAUGACGGUACCUGUGUAAGAAGCCCCGGCUAACUACGUGCCAGCAGCCGCGGUAAUACGUAGGGGGCAAGCGUUAUCCGGAUUUACUGGGUGUAAAGGGAGCGUAGGCGGCAGUGCAAGUCUGGAGGGAAAGGCGGGGGCUCAACCCCCGGACUGCUCUGGAAACUGUACGGCUGGAGGGCAGGAGAGGUAAGUGGAAUUCCUAGUGUAGCGGUGAAAUGCGUAGAUAUUAGGAGGAACACCAGUGGCGAAGGCGGCUUACUGGACUGUAACUGACGUUGAGGCUCGAAAGCGUGGGGAGCAAACAGGAUUAGAUACCCGUGUAGUC
rnacentral:rRNA from 1 species